UCUAACUCGUUUUGUUGGACUCGGUUUUACCCAACAUGUACUUAACCCCGGUUUUACCCGACAUGUACUUUACUAAAUUCUAAUAUAUUUGAUUUUACCCAACUCGUUUUGUUGGCACAUAAAAAUUGGAAAUAGAAAUAAUAAUAAUUGGGCUUAUAAUCUCUAACCUAAUAAAAUGAGUUUGAUUUACACUUGGGCCCAACCCAUUUAUUCAACCUAAAUAUAUAAGUCAGUGUGUUAUACUAAAAACCCUAAAACCAUAAACACACAUUCAGCAGCCGACAUCAUCUUUCAACAUCUGCUUUCUCUGUCCGAUCAUCGGCGACCGGUACCGGUUACGGCCGGCUACCGGGGUCCCGUGCUUGCUCGCAUGUCACCCCACACAACCCCAAGCUCCCUCUUCAUCUUAACCCGCCGCACAUACGCUGCCCUGUCCAAAGAGAGAGAGAGAGAGAGAGAGAGAGAGACAUCGGAGAACAGGAGAGAUCGGAGAUCGGAGCACAUACGCGGCGACUUUAAUUCCUUCCGACAAGUUCACCGGUAAAACAUGGUGGUGUUCUUGAUGAAAUAAUCCAAUCAUUGCAACAUCAAGUUGAGGUUCCUAAAUGUAUCUUUAUUUGGGCAAAAUGGGAGGCACUCAGGCUGCUAAAUGGGAUCUGGGCUGGCAUAAUAUAUUGGAGUGGAUUUCAGCUUGUUAAACAAAUGACGUGCUGACGCAGAUGAACUACAGUCCAACAGAAGCAAUGUUACAAACUGCUAUGAGAACCUUUUUGACUUGCAAGACUACACGUAUGUUAAGCUCGAUCGCCUUGAUGAGUUGGAGAUUACAAAAUUCGGUAACAUCAAACCUGGAAGUUUGUUUUUUGAAGCUUAUGUUGGCAAAGUCAUGUAUGCUAAAGAAAGUAAGAGUGUACCGAUUUCCUUGCUUGAAUUUUUUAUUUAAUUUGUUUUCUAAAUCUUACUCUUACACCAUGUUGUAUGAGCGUUUAACAUCAAAGCUUACAUUUGAUGCUUGUUUUAGUUGCAGUUAUAUGAAGUAGUUGACUGGUAAGGCAUCUUGUAGAAUUUGCCACCAGAACUUCAGCGCUACUGUCACAGGGUCGGGCCAAUGCGUUUGAAGGCCCAAGGCGAAUCUAAAUGCCGAGGUCCAUUAUGAACCAACGUUUUCUGCUGCUCAUCAUCCAAACUGGUGCAUUAUAUAGCACAAGAUCAUGGGCCUAAAUUUCUGGAGAAAACUUGCAAGAGAAGUGGAGAUCAUGGGCCUAAAUUUCUGGAGCAAAACCACCAGCAGAAAACUGCAAAUAACCUCCAUUAGAGUGGUUAUUUUUGGGAGUUUAAAGGGCUGAGAUUUAAUCUCAGCAUGAUCCGACGGUUGAGAUGGAUUUCAAAGUUAACUCCCACUUAAUGGGUUCCAUAUAUAUAUAUAAUAUU